GCUGGGAUGACUGGCGCCUGCUACCACGCCCGGCUAAUUUUUUCAUAUUUUUGGUAGAGACGGUGCUUCACCAUGUUAGCUAGGAUGGUCUCGAUCUCCUGACCGUGAUCCACCUGUCUCGGCCUCCCAAAGUGCUGGGAUUACAGGCAUAAGCCACCGCGCCUGGCCACCCCAUUUUCUUUAUCCACAAAUGGGAAUGAUAAUAACAGUACUUACCUCAUGGUGUUGGGAGGAUUAAACGAGUUACCCUCUGUAAAGCACUUGUGCUUGGCACCUAGUACAUGCUGUAGAAGUAUUUGCCAGUAUUCUCAUCGCUCCUCCUCCUCCUGCCUCCCUUGGCUGCUCUGAUGAAGGCUGGAAGAGAAACAACUAUUGCAUGUGUUCAGGGGUUUGCAGGGAAGGUGAGUAACGAAGUUUAGGUUACUGGCAAGAGUGCUAUUUUUA
rnacentral:lncRNA from 1 species